UCUCCAAGUCUGAAGCCCCCCCUGUCUCCGUCUCAACACUCAGAGCUGAAGGCAGUGUUACAGAGGUCGCCCAUCCGUUUCCGGGGCAACAGAGGAGACCUGCCUACUUGCACCGAGGAUCCAGCCAGUGGGGAGAAAGAGCAAAGAGCGAAGGAGGGUGAGAGAGCCAGUGACACAGGGAAAGAGACAGCGGACGUAAAGAAGGAGGCUGUCCAGAAGGAGCAGCUCAAGGCAGAGAAAGGUGGAGGGACGGUAGCUGAAACCAAGCACCCCCCUCCAGGGGAGCAAGAAGUCCCGGGCUCCGGGUGUCCCUCCUCUACAGCUCCGGCUCGACAAGGAGCACCUGCCCCCCGACUCUGCAGUCCAGCCGCAUCCCUCAUCAAAGCUCCGUCCGCCCCGGAGAGGCCCCCCGCACUGACCCAAACCCUGGAGAAGCCCUCUCUGACCUCCACAUUCCAGAAGAAGAGCCCCAGCACAGCCCCAGCACUGGCCCCAACUCUCGAAAAACUGCUGGUGUCCCCGCCGCCCCGAGACAAGACCUCCAGCACAAUCCCAGCCGCAUCUGAAGUUCCAGAAAACCCCCACGUGAGUCCGGUGUCCCACAAGAAGAAGAGCCCUGGCACAGUGGAUCUAGGAAACAGCACACAGGAGAGCGGAGAGGCGCUCUCUGAACAGCACACAGUGAAGGCAGAGCCAGCAGACCAAAGAACUGAGCCCCCGCCGUCUGAAUAACACACACACACACACGCACACACAGACUUACCUGAGGAGAGAGAGGGGGAGGGGUCUGUGACAUCACUGAGACCAGGAGCAGGGAGGGUACAUGAGUCAGAGUCUGAGAGUAGUGGAAAACAUCUGCUGCGUCCCACGUCAGGAGUGUUCUCUUCAAAAGUCUGAGAAAUAGAUAUUAUUAAGAUCCCAAACUUUGGUUUUGUCUGCAGAUAUGAAGCGUCAGAUUUUUGAUUCUGCAGAUCCCCCCGAGCAGCAAAAUAUGCAAACGUGAGCUGCAGCAUGUCAGCGUCACACACACCAACCGAGCAUCUUCACAGUCUCUCAUCAAAAGUGAUGAGCGUGUGUGUGUGUGUGUGUGUGUGUGUGUGUGUGUGUGUGUGUGUGUGUGUGUGUGUGUGUGUGUGUGUGUGUGUGUGUGUGUGUGUGUGUGUGUGUGUGUGUGUGUGUGUGUGUGCGCGCGCGUGUGUGUUUGUGUGUGUGUGUGUGCGCGUGUGUGUUUGUGUGUGUGUGUGUGUGUAAUUCAUUAAUGACACAUAUGCACAUUAUAGCAUCUGCUCACAUAAAUGUGAUCAUUAUAAUUUCAGAGUGUGUUUUUUAUUCUUUUCACUUUGCCUUCUUCUUCUUACUAUUAGUGUUUUCAGUGCCAGACAAUAACCAGGUCCUUCUUCAGCCACGUCUUCAUAUUUUAUUGUGACUUUCAUUUAAGUGAUUCAUCUGCAUUUCGACUCAUCCAGAUCAAGGUUUAUAUUGUAAUUCUUCAAUAUUUUGAUUGGAAUAUUUUUAAAUCUCAUUUUGAAUUCAUUCCCUCCCAAUGCUCUGCUUCUGUUUAGUCAUUGGCUUGAUAUCGGGUGUUUGGAUGGUGCAAUGCUGAGGUAGUGAGAAAAAUACCGUUACAUUAUACCAGACCUACAUGAUGUGAGCUGCAUGAAUGGAUUGACAGGACAAAACCUAUAGUACUUCCUUUUAAUGAAUAUCAGUGAGAUUUAUGGAUAUCUGCAAAGAGCUGUGUGGCACAGGUUUAAAGUUGAACGCCCAGAGUUUACAGAGGCUUUGUCUUGACAAUAUUAUAUACAGUGAGUUGGAAGGUUUACCAUGCUCGAAAUAGUUUUCACUGAUCCAUAAAAAAAGUACAACUAUGCUGUAAUCCAUCCACCACACUUGUCUGAUGUGUGGUCAAAUGAAGGCUGUAGCAGGAUGUAGUGUAGUGCAGAGGUCACUCUCACAAGUUAAAAUCAGUCACAUCACUGCUUAUUUCUUUAAUAAUGCAGUUGUGGUUUUAUUCAUUAGCACUUUGAGAUUGUUUUAAUGCAAUGCAUUAUUAUUAUUGUUAUUAUUAUUAUUAUUAUUAUUAUUAUUAUUAUUAUUAUUAUUAUUAUUAUCAUUACUCAAAGCAGUGUCUGAAACUGACCAACAAUGAGUUAGAUACUGUUGAGGUCCAUGUCCCUCUUGUAUUACAGAUUCGAUAGCUGUGUCAGUCAUCAUCCCACCUUUUUGUUUGAAUCCUGCCUCAGGGGCAGCUCGACUUCUGCCCACAAAGCCUUCUAGCUUGUACUUUUUUUUGCAACUAUAGAGAAACAUCAAAUCAGAGGCACAGCACCACACCUCACUCCAGAAACGUGCGACUUUCGAGGUUUGGAACCAGGCCAAGAUUAUGCUACACAAACAUAAGGAUUUUGUCUCAAUUUGAUCUUUGUAGAUUUAAAAAAAAAAAAAAAUUGCAGUUCUUAUUCCAGCACUGACAUCUUGAGAAGAACAUUAACAAUUCAAUAAUGUCUUCAUCAUCUGGUUAUAUUCUGGUUAUUUUCGUUUUUGUACACACUGAAAAUGAUGUCAAAGUAUUUGAGGAUUUACUUUUGCCUUGUGUUUUAAUGUUUUCACAAUAAGCCUUUUAGAAUCGUCACAUUAUCACUCGGGACACUAAAGCUCUGCAUGUUUCUGCAUAUUUCGAUGAAAUCAAAAUCAAGAUGUGACUGAAUUCAGAUUCAGACCACCGUGUAUGUGUGACGACUAUUUGGCGGAUACAUCAGAGGCCAGAUCGGCCCUACAGUAUGUACAGCGUGUGAGAUAAGAAGUCUAUCAAACUCUCAGGGUGGUUGUUGAGAGUGUGUGUGUGUGUGUGUGCUGUGUGAGAACAGACCUCAGAUCAGCUCCCUGUGGCGUCUGUGUCCCCGAGACUCCGUCUCGCCCCGGGGUAGAGUCUAUUUUCUACCGUCAUGUUUGUCUUUGCCUUGCACGCACGGGAUAUGUACAAAACGACAUGAAGCCAACAAACGAAAAAACAAAGUUAUGAACAGAGUGUAAAUCCAUACCUAUACUUGUUAAUAAUUAUUAAAAAGUUGAUUGAGUUGUGUCAUAAAUUGGUAAUGUCUCGUUUUCAUUUUGAUUCUGUGUUUUUUUUGAGGCGGGCCUUUUUGUGAAUCCAACACUUUUUUUGCACAUUUCACUGGGCCGGUUUGAUCUGAACUCCUCACAUAGUUCAUGGAACCAUGUCUGGUCGGCGGGGCAUAUUGGGACACGAUACAGAAAGCGAAGGUGGUUGUUCCCUUUUACCGGUUCUGACCCUUUUCUCAUGUGCUGCUCCUGUGACAUACCUGAGUAAUCGCUCUGUAGGCCGAGCAGUGAGACGUGAAACUGAAAUUGUCCCACACGUCCAGUCAUUACUUCCGAUCAACUGGAGAACUGCCGGAAGCGAACACUUAUGGUAAUUGCUCAUCAUUAGCAUAUGAGGACCUUUUUGUUCUCACCGUGGUCAAUUGAUCCUACUCCGAAACUUG
rnacentral:lncRNA from 1 species